AACGAACGCUGGCGGCAGGCCUAACACAUGCAAGUCGAACGGGAUCUUCGGAUCUAGUGGCGGACGGGUGAGUAACGCGUGGGAACGUACCCUUUGGUUCGGAAUAGCCCUGGGAAACUGGGAGUAAUACCGGAUACGGUCGAGAGACGGAAGAUUUAUCGCCGAAGGAUCGGCCCGCGUUGGAUUAGGUAGGUGGUGGGGUAAUGGCCUACCAAGCCGACGAUCCAUAGCUGGUUUGAGAGGAUGAUCAGCCACACUGGGACUGAGACACGGCCCAGACUCCUACGGGAGGCAGCAGUGGGGAAUCUUAGACGAUGGGGGAAACCCUGAUCUAGCCAUGCCGCGUGAGCGAUGAAGGCCUUAGGGUUGUAAAGCUCUUUCAGUGGGGAAGAUAAUGACGGUACCCACAGAAGAAGCCCCGGCUAACUCCGUGCCAGCCGCCGCCGUAAGAC
rnacentral:rRNA from 1 species